UACGUAGGGGGCAAGCGUUGUCCGGAUUUAUUGGGCGUAAAGAGCGUGUAGGCGGCUUUGCAAGUCCGUUGUGAAAACUCGAGGCUCAACCUCGAGACGCCGGUGGAAACUGCAAGGCUCGAGUCCGGGAGAGGGGGUGGAAUUCCCAGUGUAGCGGUGAAAUGCGUAGAUAAUUGGGAGGAACACCGGUGGCGAAGGCGGCCCCCUGGACCGGAACUGACGCUGAGGCGCGAAAGCGUGGGUAG
rnacentral:rRNA from 1 species